UGUGCCCAGGCACACCCUAAUGCAGGGGUGGGGAAAUGGCCCCACUCUCCUGGCACGGCAAGCCGGAGGGUCUACGCUCCCGGAGCACAGCAAGCCACCGGCCCCUCCCCUACAGCCAUGCAGCAGCACCCACAGCGCUCUGGGGGCCAGAGUUCUGCAGAGAGGCAGACAUGUUCCCUGCUCAUUCAGAGCCUUGCCACCACGCAUGCAGCAUUCUGAGAGGCGGGGCUGCAUGCUCCUGCAGGCCAGGGUUUGGCUCUGCGCAGAGCAGAACAUGCUGCUAGGAGCCUCAUGUGUCCUCCACCCUUGCCACUUCCAUGGUGUGCAUCUUUUUGCCACAUACCACUAUGUUCAGAUGCAUCACAACACUGUACUCAGAGGUGAAACAAAGGCCGUCCACUCAGCUUAGACUCCACCUCCUGCGACAUGAUAGGAGAGAAGGCCUAAAGCUACUCCCCAGCCCCUGCUCUACAGUGCCCAGGCUGAACAGAAUAAUGUCUCCCCCUGUAGACUCAACGGAUUCUUCUACUUUGGAAAAUGAGAAAUAUAAGGGCCACUGAAAAAGUGUGCUUUUCAUGCAGUCAUGGAGUGAAUAUAAUGCCCUGAGAUUGAUGUCCUGCAGCCAAAUACUGACUUCAAGUAGAAGCCAUCAUCUCUCCUGUCACAGACUUGUUCCUUGGACAACAUCAGCCACAAUUAGAGCAGCAGAUUUCUUGCUAUUUUGAAAGAAGUCAAGUCAAAACGCAAUGACAGUAAAUUAAGUAAAAAUCGCAGGUUUAGUGA